rnacentral:tRNA from 1 species
UGUAGUGUGGCCGAGCGGUCUAAGGCGCUGGAUUAAGGCUCUAGUCUCAAUAGAGGCAUGGGUUCAAAUCCCACCACUGCCA